ACGAACUUGAUGAACCUGUGAUAUCUUCUUCAGGGAGAAAAAGGACAAUAAAAGCGGAAACGUUUUCAAGGAACAUUGCAAAAGCAGCGCGUUACAAUGGUCUCUGCAGGAAAGUAAUGGGAGUUACCAGAUCGGGGCGUUUUUAGACCAUGUUUCCUGAUUGGCUGACGUCAUAGUGACGAGACCUCAAUCUCA